UCUGCACAGAGGACACAUGCAAGCUGAACAAGCCUAACUGAUAGACCGAGGUUAUCAGCCGGAAAGCCCUGGGUGUGUGGGUGAGGCAGCCCUCAUGACCAUCCUGAGGAAGCCGAGGGGCCCUUUGACCAGGAAGCCAUGAGGCUGAACGGAGAAUGCAUCAGACACAGCAAGCAGGGCUCCAAUUACUAGGCAGAUGGUUGGUUCCCAUUGCAUCAACAAACAAGGAAACCAAGCUGAAAGAAGAGGCACAAGUUGUUUCAUCUGAGACUAAAAAAAAAGCUAGACAGGAGGCAACAGAUGAUGUGAGUGAUACUGAUGAGUCAAAAGGCGCAGUCAGCGGCAGAGUGUGCGCUUCGUCCCGGAGACAAGAGAAUCAACGGAGAGAAUGUUACGUCAACCACUAAUUUGUUAAUUAAUUUUACAGAAAGGCAUCUAUGUCUCCUUACCCUCCCCCCACAAUGGCAUUUCCUCAUUCCACUGUACACUGACGUGGAGAAUUUUUCAAAAACACAAAUCUUGUAUAGUUCCUGACUAUUCACUCAAGCGGUCCGGGUUAUUUUUAUUUUUAUUUUUUUUGUCUCAAUGGAUCUGAACCAGAGCUUCAUGUUUGUCAGUGGGUCUCUGGCCUCCUUAUGAGAGGGAAUUACUCGUUACACCACCAUCCCCCACCCCUACAAGUAUGCUGUUCACAGUGAAGUCCAUCAUCAGUGUAGGGAGUGGGACCCGGCCGGGGUCAUUGGCUGAAAUCCUGCUGCCACUAGAAAUCAAGAAAAACACACAAGAGAAAUAGAGAAUGAUGAGUGGCUGAAAUAUCUACUGGGAAGAUAUUUAAAAUCCUCGGAAAUGUCGAGAGUAGGGCUGUGAACCCUAUGUUAGGACAAAGUAAUUCACAUCGCAUAAUCAUAAAGAGAUCAUCUGGUCCAUUGUUUUUAAAAUUAUUUCUUAGCAGAUUCUGUUCUCAAGCAAAAUCUUAGGCAGGCUUCUAAUACCACAAAAGGAAUAGUGAAGAUAAAGGAAGAGCUGCUCAUACUGGGAAUAUCCCAGCAUAGAUUAUUCUACAUGGUUCUAAGACAUUUCUAAUUCAAAACGGCAAGACUAAAGAGCAAAGAGUUUGCAAGAAUGUGAAUUUGCUGUUCAGUAAUUGAGCUCACUGAAAACAAAAGUGCAGCUACAACCCAAUCUCUUUUCAGAGCACAUUGGAAUGGGGUUCUUUCUAGCACUCAGUAUGUUCACAACAACUGUUCAGUGAAGUAUGGGGUACAUGGAAAAAUCUACAUUGCAGUUUAGAAAACUUCCCAGUGAAUGGUCGAAUUCAAACACCAUAUGUCAAACCAUUCACUUUUAUUGAUCAAGACAGGUUGUUCUCGUAGAGGGAAGGCUUAAUUUAAUGACUCUGGAUAACAGGUGGCUUGGUUCAUAUGUUGAUAACUAUAGAUAAUGUGCUCUUGUUUUUUAUAGUAGUACACACAUCUUUCGGGACUGGAAGCCCCAAAUAACAAAAUGCCUCAUUCACCAGCCUCUUUGCCUAUCAUCACCAUCACCCGCCUCUUCCUGGUCAUACCUGAGAAACUUCUCCUAGUCAAGGUACUAUGGUCAGUGCCGACAGGGCUUCCACGAGCUCCUCCCAGAGUGACACCGUCUGUCUAUGUGAAUCAGAGAAGGCUCUUCCUUUUCCAGUACUAUGGAAUAAUUACGAGGGAUGCAUUGAAUCCUAGCAGCAUGGGCUGUCCUCAGUAGGAUGAUGCUGUGCAUGAUGGAAAGUCACUAUACCACUUAAGAGGAGCAGUUGCUGAGCCCUCAUCCUUUACCAGCCCUCCACUGCUCUUUCCCAUCAUAGCCUCAGGGUGACUAUGAAGGGGCAGCAGGAGGAGACCUUUCUGUUGAGGGCAUAGUUCUGCACAGGAAUCUACACAUCUUGUAGGAUGGCACGGGACUACACACAUUGUAGCAAUAUGAAUUUCCUGGUUUUAAUAUUGCAAUGUUGUUCCACAACACGUAACCACAGAGGGAAGCCGCAAAGUGGAUUAGAGAUCUCUCCAUAUUAGUUUUGCAUUUUCCUGUUAAUCUAUAAUCAUGUCAAAAUAAAAGGUUUUCUUUAAAAAAAAA
rnacentral:lncRNA from 10 species